rnacentral:rRNA from 1 species
UACGUAGGGUCCAAGCGUUAAUCGGAAUUACUGGGCGUAAAGCGUGCGCAGGCGGCUUCGCAAGUCAGACGUGAAAUCCCCGGGCUUAACCUGGGAAUGGCGUUUGAAACUACGGAGCUGGAGUGUGGCAGAGGGAGGUAGAAUUCCACGUGUAGCGGUGAAAUGCGUAGAUAUGUGGAGGAAUACCGAUGGCGAAGGCAGCCUCCUGGGCCAACACUGACGCUCAUGCAUGAAAGCGUGGGAGCAAACAGG